rnacentral:rRNA from 1 species
UACAGAGGUCUCAAGCGUUGUUCGGAUUCAUUGGGCGUAAAAGGGUGCGUAGGCGGCGCGGUAAGUCGGGUGUGAAAUCUCGGAGCUUAACUCCGAAACUGCAUUCGAUACUGCCGUGCUUGAGGACUGGAGAGGAGACUGGAAUUUACGGUGUAGCGGUGAAUGCGUAGAUAUCGUAAGGAAGACCAGUGGCGAAGGCGGGUCUCUGGACAGUUUCCUGACGCUGAGGCACGAAGGUCAGGGAGCAAACGGG